CUCGGUGGUUAUACCCUGGGGGAAAUACCUCUUCCCAUUCCGAACAGAGAAGUUAAGCCCCAGAAGGCCGAUGGUACUGUGCUGGUAACGGCACGGGAGAGUAGGACGCUGCCGGGC
rnacentral:rRNA from 1 species